CUUGCUCUUCAGCUGAGAUGAAAGAUGGCAUGCAGCAAUUAGAAGGUGUUGUAUGUUCUCCCUUAAUCUGUCAUGGGCAUAUUCCUAUUAAAGAAGGAAGUUUCUGAGGACUUCAAUUCUUAACCGUAAGCAAAAGAUUGCAGGAGUGACAAUUCAAAGUAGACUGUCUUUUAAAGAAGUUUCUGUCUCAUGGAGGUAAUUGGAAACAUAGCUGGGAAGAUCUUGCAUGAUCUUUCCCUAUGGCUUCUUAUUUAUUCCUAUCACACUGAGGUGGUAGUUGUUUUUUUCCAUAUAUCUACAUAUGUGUAUAGGUACGCAUGUGCAUCCAUGAAGCUGGGAAAUUAGAAGUGUAGCUUUGCUCUGAAAAUGACUGCAGGUUGUACUUUCUUAUCACUUCGGUCUUCAUGCCGUGUGUAUUCAUAGCUUCUUACUUUAGAUGCAGAGAAAGGAUUACAGAAACAUUGCUUCUAACAUUAGUCACACUGAUCCAACUCAGAUAAAAAUUAGGGAGCUGGAAUCAUUUUCCAUUACAUCAGCUGCGUUUCCUACAAGGUUCUCGAUGGUGACAUGUAAGCAAAGAACCUUUCAUUGUCACGGAGGUGCUGUAGGAGUCACUGUGACUUGCAGAUCUGUUCGGUGCUGGCAGUGUCAAGCAAACGUAUGAAAAGCAGCCGUGAAACAUCGUAAGGAGAGGAAAAAAUUGUACCAUAAAAAUAGGACAACCAUAUUUUCCACAAACUUCCCAAGUCAUCUGAGGAUGUUUAUCUGGAAACAACCGCUGCUGUAAAGGCUGGAUGUGACUGUACUAGCCUCAGUAUAAGUGAAAGUCCUUCUUGGAGAAGAAGCCAUAAAAAGCAGCCACAGAAGCAAAGAGCAUGACUUAGAAACAGGAAAAGUUAAAAUGAUCCUUUAAUAUAAGUGCUGAAAAAAACUGCUGCAAUUAAAUAUCAUUUUUUCCAGAAAAUUCUUUCAUGUCUUUCAUCUGAGAUCCAUUGCUUCCUUUAAAUAAGGUAGAGCCAGGAGAGCAUCUGGCUGUUAAAAGGGAUAAAAAACCAAGCAGUGACACUGACAGGAUGC